rnacentral:rRNA from 1 species
AACGAACGCUGGCGGCAUGCCUAACACAUGCAAGUCGAACGAGACCUUCGGGUCUAGUGGCGCACGGGUGCGUAACGCGUGGGAACCUGCCCUUAGGUUCGGAAUAACUCCCCGACAGGGGUGCUAAUACCGGAUAAUGUCUUCGGACCAAAGAUUUAUCGCCUUUGGAUGGGCCCGCGUUGGAUUAGCUAGUUGGUAGGGUAAAAGCCUACCAAGGCGACGAUCCAUAGCUGGUCUGAGAGGAUGAUCAGCCACACUGGGACUGAGACACGGCCCAGACUCCUACGGGAGGCAGCAGUGGGGAAUAUUGGACAAUGGGCGAAAGCCUGAUCCAGCAAUGCCGCGUGAGUGAUGAAGGCCGUAGAGUUGUAAAGCUCUUUUACCCGGGAUGAUAAUGACAGUACCGGGAGAAUAAGCACCGGCUAACUCCGUG